rnacentral:misc_RNA from 1 species
CUGAUAUGGAAAAUAUGAAGGGUGAAAAUUACCCAGAGAAAAGCCAAAAACCAUCUAGCAUUGUGGGGGCUCAUUUGAAGUCUGUUAGUGGAUUUGAUGAAAAACCUGUGGAAGAGGUAUCAAUGCUUGGGUACACUAGGAAGGUGACCAUUCUCUAUGAGCUUCUUUCAGCUUGUCUCGCACAAGUACCUGAAGACGGUAAGAAAACUACUCGAAGAAGGAAGGGUUAUGAUGCUCGACAUCGUAUGGCUUUACGGUUGCUAGCAACAUGGCUUAAUGUCAGAUGGAUCAAAGCGGAAGCCAUUGAGACCAUGGUUGCUUGUUCAGCAAUGGCUUUGCUGAAAGAGGAAGAAUCAAAGGAGGAAAGCCAAUCUCCUGAUGGUUCAUGGGCUAAGUGGAAACGAGGAGGUAUUAUAGGUGCAGCUGCAUUGACUGGUGGAACUUUAAUGGCAAUUACUGGUGGUUUGGCUGCUCCAGCAAUAGCUGCAGGCUUUGGUGCUUUAGCACCUACCUUGGGCACUCUUAUUCCUGUGAUUGGAGCAAGUGGGUUUGCUGCUGUUGCUACUGCUGCUGGGAGUGUUGCAGGAUCUGUUGCAGUCGCAGCAUCAUUUGGAGCUGCUGGAGCCGGACUUACAGGAACUAAAAUGGCCAGGAGAACUGGAGAUGUUGAUGAAUUUGAGUUCAAGGCUAUAGGGGAAAACCACAACCAGGGGCGGCUGGCAGUUCAGAUCUUGAUCUCGGGACUUGUUUUUGAGGAGGAAGACUUUAUAAGACCUUGGGAAGGACAACAUGAUAACUCUGAAAGGUAUAUAUUGCAGUGGGAAUCGAAGAAUCUUAUUGCUGUAAGCACUGCAAUUCAGGAUUGGCUGACUUCACGAAUUGCAAUGGAGUUGAUGAAGCAAGGUGCUAUGAUGACUGUACUACACACUCUUUUAACAGCUUUGGCUUGGCCAGCAGCUUUACUUACUAUUACUGAUUUCAUAGACAGCACCUGGUCAAUUGCUGUGGACAGAUCUGAUAAAGCAGGAGUGCUCCUAGCAGAAGUGUUGAAGAAAGGAUUACAGGGACACAGG